CACCUGUGUUCUGGCUCCCGAAGGCACCCUCGCCUCUCAGCAAGGUUCCAGACAUGUCAAGGGUAGGUAAGGUUUUUCGCGUUGCAUCGAAUUAAUCCACAUCAUCCACCGCUUGUGCGGGUCCCCGUCAAUUCCUUUGAGUUUUAACCUUGCGGCCGUACUCCCCAGGCGGUCGACUUCACGCGUUAGCUGCGUCACUCAGUGCAUUGCUGCUCCGAACGACUAGUCGACAUCGUUUAGGGCGUGGACUACCAG
rnacentral:rRNA from 1 species